UACGUAGGGGGCAAGCGUUGUCCGGAUUUAUUGGGCGUAAAGAGCGUGUAGGCGGUUCGGUAGGUCCGUUGUGAAAACUCGAGGCUCAACCUCGAGACGCCGAUGGAAACCAUCGAACUAGAGUCCGGAAGAGGAGAGUGGAAUUCCAGGUGUAGCGGUGAAAUGCGUAGAUAUCUGGAGGAACACCGGUGGCGAAGGCGGCAUCCUGGACCGACACUGACGCUGAGGCGCGAAAGCCAGGGGAGCAAACGGG
rnacentral:rRNA from 1 species